CCUGCAGUCUGCUGUGCAUCAGCUGGUAGCUGAUGUGUGCUGCUUGCAUCUGGAAGUUCACUUUCUGUGGCCAGAGAGUAGAAGAUGGACAGGUGUUUGCAGGUGAUACCACCAGGACAAAGCAGUUUGGACAGAGCUUUUAUUUAUUUAUUUAUUUAUUUGCCUAUCUAUCUAUCUAUUUAUUUUUUCCUGUCCUUAAUUUCUGUGCUGAUGUUAGCAUGAAGGAAACUUUAUUUAUUAUUUACUUCUCUUGGCUUUUCUAAUACACAUGCUGUUUACCAACAUCUUGGAGUUCACAGUCCACCUUAGGAGACAGUCAAAAAAAUUUAAGAAGGGACAAUACCAAAACAUUUUGAUGUGAAAUACAGAGAUUUCUUGUCCCAUGUCUCCCCGUCUACCAUGUACUGAAUACAGACUGUGCCAGAUUUUUAGGUAUUCCUGCUUAUGUGUUAGGCUGCUUUGUGUGCUUCAUGGGUGAAUAGGUGUGGAGAUGCCUCUGCAAUUCUCUCAGCUGCCAUCAACUGACCCUAGAUGACCCGUCUUUGUGCUUCUAAUACCCAGCCCCUACAACAGGAGAAAAGACUUACAGAAAAAAUGGGACUGAUCCUGAAAUGAUGUGUAUGAGCUCCUGCAGUCAACCUCCUUUCAAAAACCCAGCAAGUACCAUGCAUCUUCAGAGCAAAUAUGAACCAGUUUGGACAGAAUAUACCUUAAUGAAGAAACAGAAAUCUGUUCUCGGUGACCAGAAUCAUUCCAGCUUCAAUGAGUGUGAGAGAAAUGGUGGCUAUGGAUGUAAAAGUUCCAUGAUUCUUCCUUGUCACUGUUUUUCCAAACCUGGGGAUACCAAGAGAUAUCCUGGAGUAGGAGGAGAAAGAAUGGGAGACCAACAAGCAAGAAAAUAACGAAGUUCAAAAGAACCGUAAGGAAGAGGAAGAGCUGGGACAAAAAGAAAUGUUAGGGGAUGAUAAAGACUGAUUGGUUAUGGAUGGUUCUUGAAGUUCAGAAAAGACAGGUUGUGAUGAGAACAACAAAGAGAUGCAUUUGUUUGGCCUGGCCACAACUGUUUAACCUUGAGAAAAGAUUCCUGCCUCCAUGUGUAAGCAGGACAAAGAGAUCCUGUAACAGUUGUGUUGCUCACCCAUCCCAUGCUGCUAUCUCCUGCUGUUGUCCACAGGUUUGAUCCAGUUACAUCUCCCUUCUCUAGGCGCAGUUGGACCUUGGCUCAGACCUGUAACUUACCCGAGCUGCCCCCUUGUAUUUGCUAGUAUUUCUUUACAUAUCUGCCGAUUUCAAGGUUGUCUUCUUGGGUUUGGUGCAAAGCAAACCCCAAUGUACUGCUGUCCUGCAUACUGCUUCUAGAGAAAACAGCAAUUUUCUUGUCACCGACGUUCUGUUUUACCUUUACUAUGUGUUCUCAGAAUCUUUAAUUUCUUAUUCUACUUAAAAACUGGCUUUCCCUAAAUGCUAAGCCCUAUGUGCAGAGGGUUAAAGCUUGACAAAUUACAAGCAUUUAUGACGUGCUUAUGCUAUUAAAGAUAUUAAUUAUUAUUUCAAUAAUUCCACGACUCCUAGAAUAAUGUGAAUAUAAGUAGAGCUCAGCUUUGGUACCUGCAAAAAAAAACAACAGAAAUGUUGGAGAAAAGCAGAAUGUGUGUCUUGUAGAUUCUGACAUGUGGAAUAGGAAAUCUCCUAUACGAUAAAUGUCACAGCAAAGUGUGAUAGAGGAACAUAGAUGCAAUAAGUAACAGCUUCCUGCAAACAGUCGGAGAGCUGAGUAUAACUGGUUUUGAUGUAUUUAUGAGCAGUGCAUAGAAUCUGUCUCAAAAUGUUGCUCUUGAACAGCUAUAUUUAAUAGCCAUUAGAGCACACUCAAAUUAUAUAUACGUAUACAUAUAUUUUCUCCUAGGAGAAACACGGUAGUGUUUAACUAUGUGAAAAAACGUUUAACUAAAAUGAGGAAGUUUCUUAAAAGGAGAUGGAGAGGAAGAGCCAAAAGAGUAGAAUACUUACAGUUGGUGUGGAUAUUUUUUAAAGAGUUUCAAUGUAGCUUGUAACUGUCUAUCAGCAAAUAAAACAAACAACUUUGAAAGGAAACUCA
rnacentral:lncRNA from 1 species